rnacentral:misc_RNA from 1 species
AAAAUGCGAUACGUAAUGCGAAUUGCAGAAUUCAGUGAAUCAUCAAAUCUUUGAACGCAAAUUGCGCUCUCGGGAUAGGCCUGGGAGCACGCCUCUUUGAGUAUCGUUUCAACCACAACUCGAAAGCGUGCUUAAUUGCACGCUGACGGAAAUUGAGCGCUUCUCGAGCAAUCGAGACGCUUGAAAUUGAGCGAGCGACACGAUUUCUGACGUGAAAUUGACUUUGUCUCAAGUGACGAGGAUAACUUCACAUUCAAUUGUGAACCCUUCCUUCGUGACUCUCGAGGCGGGUUGUUUCAUGCCGGUCAUCUGCAAUGUUGCGGACCCUCUGCAGGCGUCUCUUACGAUGACUGCAGAACUCUAUUUGAACUAGAUCUCAAAUGAAGCGAGAAAACCCGCU